GCACUUGAACCUAUGUUUUGGUUUACCCUCAUUCACGACAUUGCGUUGUGUACGGAGUAUUCUGGAUAUGGUGGAUUUUGUACGAAAGUUGUGAGUAAGUCAACAAGGAAUCAGUCACUUCUAGUAAGAGAAGGUAACAUCCUACUUACUCUAAUCUUAUGAUGAUUCAAGAAGCCUUUGAUCAAAGCAAAAUGAAAUAGAAAGAGUUUCUAAUGUUUCAUUGUUUGAAUUAUCAUAUAAAAGAUUGAGAAAGAUAUGAAUAAGUGAUUGAGUUUGAUAUUGAUCCAUACUCAUGCACUUAUUCAGGAUGUAGUAUGACUGAGGGAUUGAAUUGCACGGUAACUUGCCACUGAAAGGUAUGUUUGGAUUUGUCCAAUACAUUCCUCAUCUUCCGGGUAGACAUGAUACGUUGCUAGACGUCAAUCUUGUCUUGUGGGUUGAUCGAAUCAAAGAGUUUGAUUAGAUCAAAGCAUCAGAAAGGUUCUGAUUGCUAAGU
rnacentral:lncRNA from 1 species